rnacentral:rRNA from 1 species
UACAGAGGGGGGCAAGCGUUUGUUCGGAAUUACUGGGCGUAAAGGGCGCGUAGGUGGCCUUCUAAGUUGAACGUGAAAUCCCUGGGCUCAACCCAGGAACUGCGUCCAAGACUGGGAGGCUUGAAUCCGGAGAGGGAUGCGGAAUUCCAGGUGUAGCGGUGAAAUGCAUAGAUAUGACCCGGAACACCUAUUGCGAAGGCAGCAGGCUAAACAAAUAUUGACGCUGAGGCUCGAAAGCGUGGGGAUCAAACAGGAGUU